CAAAUACUUUUGUUUGUUGUUUAUAUAUUUGACAUUUCUUUAAAAAGGCCUCGUGUUUGGGAUUUCCAAUAACAGUGGUAGUCUGCUGUUCAACAUUUUCAAUCCGCGAAUGCUUGUGGUGUGCCUGGGACGUGUAUGUGGCUCGCUGUUUGUUAGAAAGUUUGAUGUUUCGUGUGUACCUAACUCAUAGAUGGACUGGGUUUCACUUAGUCUAUCAAUUUGUGAAAUAAGGAAGAUUAGCCCUGAGCUAACAUCUGCUGCCAACCCUCUUUUUUUUGCUGAGGAAGACUGGCCUUGAGCUAACAUCCAUGCCCAUCUUCUUCUGCUUUAUAUGUGGGACGCCUGCCACAGGAUGACUUGACAAGUGGUGCAUAGGUCCGCACCUGGGAUCCAAACCUGCAAACCCCGGGCUGCUGAAGCGGAACGUGCAAACUUAACUGCUGUGCCACCGGGCCAGUCCCUGUAUGUCUGGUAAGUUUUGACUGGAUGCCAGGUAUUAGGAAUUUUACCUUGUGAAGUGCUGGAUAUUCUUGUAUUCCUGUAAUUCUUGAGCUUUGUUCUGGGGUACAGUUAAGUUACUUGGAAAUAGUUCAAUUCUUUUGGGUCUUGCUUUUAAGAUUUGUUAGAUGGGACCAGACCAUCUAACCAGUGCUAAUUCUAGGGCCGAUUAAUCCCCCUGAGACCUACAUGAAUGCUCUUCCCAAUGCCCCGUAAUUAAUCUGGCUAGUGGGAAUAGGCACUAUUCCCAGCCUGUGUGUGCAUCAAACACCUUUCUCUCUAACCCUUUGAAGUGGUUCUUUCCCCAGCCUUGGGUAGUUUUCUUACACAUAUGUGUUAAGCAGGACUUUGGCACACUAGAAAACUCUCUCUGUACAGCUCUCUCCUCUGGUGCUCUGCCCUAUGACCUCGAGCUGUCUUGGUCUCCCUAGAUUCUCAGCUCUGACUCCUUCACUCUGGGACUCCCCUGAACUCUGCCUCAGUUUUCCUUCCCUGCACUGUAGCCUGGGAACUCGAGGCAGUGAAGUGGGGCAAUACUAAGCCUCACCUCCUUUGUUGUACUUUUCUCAGUGUAUUGAAAACCAUUGUUUCAUAUUUUUUGUCCCUCUUUUGGUUGUUUUAGGUGGGGAAGUAAAUCUGGUCCUUGUUUCUCUGUCUUGGCUUCUGCAAAUGGAGGUCCAAAUGUCACACCCAUCUGGAACACUUACCACCCAAAACCAUUGAAUAUUGAAACUCUUAAGUUAGGUUGCAUACUGUUGAACUCACAUCCAAUUGAUUCCAGGCGAAGACAGCUAUUUUCUUGUCUUUACAUCCCUACAGACUUAACCAAUAGCCUGGUGCUUGGCUGACACUCAGUAAAAGCUGGCGAAUGAAUAAACUAUUUUGAGCAAACAGCUGUCCAUCUGCUUCUGGUGUUUUCUUCCAACAUUUGUUGGUAGGCUUUUGCGAUUUUCUUCUUGCCUGCCAGCAGCAAAAGAAAGCUAGGCAAGAUGGAAAUUUCUGGGACUUCUUAUUCAUGAUUGUAAUUAUCCACAAAAAUGUACCCUUUAAAAAAGCUUAUUUACAGGCAUGAGGGAACUUUUGGGGCUGAUGGCAAUGUUCUAAAAC
rnacentral:lncRNA from 1 species